rnacentral:rRNA from 1 species
AAGCAUAUCAAUAAGCGGAGGAAAAGAAACCAACAGGGAUUGCCCUAGUAACGGCGAGUGAAGCGGCAACAGCUCAAAUUUGAAAUCUGGCUCUCGGGCCCGAGUUGUAAUUUGUAGAGGAUGCUUUUGGUGCGGUGCCUUCCGAGUGCCCUGGAACGGGACGCCAUAGAGGGUGAGAGCCCCGUCUGGUUGGAUGCCAAUCCUCUGUAAAGCUCCUUCGACGAGUCGAGUAGUUUGGGAAUGCUGCUCUAAAUGGGAGGUAUAUGUCUUCUAAAGCUAAAUACCGGCCAGAGACCGAUAGCGCACAAGUAGAGUGAUCGAAAGAUGAAAAGCACUUUGAAAAGAGAGUUAAAAAGUACGUGAAAUUGUUGAAAGGGAAGCGUUUAUGACCAGACUUGGGCUUGGUUAAUCAUCCAGGGUUCUCCCUGGUGCACUUUUCCAGUCCAGGCCAGCAUCAGUUUGCUUCGGGGGAUAAAGGCUUCGGGAAUGUGGCUCUCUCCGGGGAGUGUUAUAGCCCGUUGCGUAAUACCCUGGGGCGGACUGAGGUACGCGCUUCUGCAAGGAUGCUGGCGUAAUGGUCAUCAACGACCCGUCUUGAAACACGGACCAAGGAGUCGUCUUCGUAUGCGAGUGUUCGGGUGUCAAACCCCUACGCGUAAUGAAAGUGAACGCAGGUGAGAGCUUCGGCGCAUCAUCGACCGAUCCUGAUGUUCUCGGAUGGAUUUGAGUAAGAGCAUACGGGGCCGGACCCGAAAGAAGGUGAACUAUGCUUGUAUAGGGUGAAGCCAGAGGAAACUCUGGUGGAGGCUCGCAGCGGUUCUGACGUGCAAAUCGAUCGUCAAAUAUGAGCAUGGGGGCGAAAGACUAAUCGAACCUUCUAGUAGCUGGUUUCCGCCGAAGUU